GCCGGCGGAAGAAUUGCAGUUAAGGAACUAGGCAAAUUGACCCCGUAAGUUCGCGAGAAGGGGUGCCUGCGAGAGCAGGCCGCAGAGAAUAGGCCCAAGCAACUGUUUAGCAAAAACACAGGUCUCUGCUAAAGCGUAAGCUGAUGUAUAGGGGCUGACGCCUGCCGGGUGCUGGAAGGUUAAGGAGAACACUUAGCGCAAGCGAAGGUGUGAACUUAAGCCCCAGUAAACGGCGGCCGUAACAAUAACGGUCCUAAGGUAGCGAAAUUCCUUGUCAGGUAAGUUCUGACCCGCACGAAUGGCGUAAUGACUUGGGCACUGUCUCAACUGCAAAUCCGGCGAAGUUGUAGUGCGAGUGAAGAUGCUCGCUACCCGCGAUUGGACGGAAAGACCCCGUAGAGCUUUACUGUAGCUUAGCAUUGAAUUCCGGUAUUGUCUGUACAGGAUAGGUGGGAGACUGGGAAACUAGGGCGUCAGCCUUAGUGGAGUCAACCUUGGGAUACCACCCUGACAGUACUGAGGUUCUAACAGGACGCCAUGAAACUGGUGACUGGACAUUGUUAGGUGGGCAGUUUGACUGGGGCGGUCGCCUCCUAAAAAGUAACGGAGGCGCCCAAAGGUUCCCUCAGAACGGUCGGAAAUCGUUCGUAGAGUGCAAAGGCAGAAGGGAGCCUGACUGCGAGACCUACAAGUCGAGCAGGGACGAAAGUCGGGCUUAGUGAUCCGGUGGUACCUCGUGGGAGGGCCAUCGCUCAACGGAUAAAAGCUACCUCGGGGAUAACAGGCUGAUCUCCCCCAAGAGUCCACAUCAACGGGGAGGUUUGGCACCUCGAUGUCGGCUCGUCGCGUCCUGGGGCUGUAGUAGGUCCCAAGGGUUGGGCUGUUCGCCCAUUAAAGCGGCACGCGAGCUGGGUUCAGAACGUCGUGAGACAGUUCGGUCCCUAUCCGUCGCGGUCGUAGGAAAUUUGAGAGGAGCUGUCCUUAGUACGAGAGGACCGGGAUGGACUGACCUCUGGUGCACCAGUUGUUCUGCCAAGAGCAUGGCUGGGUAGCUAAGUCGGGAAGGGAUAAACGCUGAAAGCAUCUAAGCGUGAAGCCCCCCUCAAGAUGAGAUUUCCCAUAGCAUAAGCUAGUAAGACCCCUUGAAGAACACAAGGUUGAUAGGUCAGAGGUGGAAGUGCGGUAACGUAUGUAGCUGACUGAUACUAAUAGGUCGAGGGCUUGAUC
rnacentral:rRNA from 1 species